rnacentral:rRNA from 1 species
CGUAGGGUGCGAGCGUUAAUUGGAAUUACUGGGCGUAAAGCGUGCGCAGGCGGUUUUGUAAGACAGAUGUGAAAUCCCCGGGCUCAACCUGGGACCUGCAUUUGUGACUGCAAGGCUAGAGUACGGUAGAGGGGGAUGGAAUUCCGCGUGUAGCAGUGAAAUGCGUAGAUAUGCGGAGGAACACCGAUGGCGAAGGCAAUCCCCUGGACCUGUACUGACGCUCAUGCACGAAAGCGUGGGGAGCAAACAGGAUUAGAUACCCUGGUAGUCCACGCCCUAAACGAUGUCAACUGGUUGUUGGGUCUUUACUGACUCAGUAACGAAGCUAACGCGUGAAGUUGACCGCCUGGGGAGUACGGCCGCAAGGUUG